GUCUUUUAGAUUAUAAUUUAAAGUCUGGCCUGCCCUAUGAAGAUUUAAAUGGCCGCAGUAUUUUGACUGUGCAAAGGUAGCAUAAUAAUUAGUUUUUUAAUUGAAAGCUGGAAUGAAAGGUUGAACGAAAAAAUAUCUGUCUCAAUUUAAUUUAAUUAGAAUUUUAUUUUUUAGUAAAAAAGCUAAAAUAAUUUUUAAAGACGAGAAGACCCUAUAGAGUUUUAUAUUUAAAUUUUAUAUAUUUUAAAGAAUUUUUUUAUAAUUUUAAAUAUUUUGUUGGGGUGACAAGUAAAUUUAAUUAACUUUAUUAAUUUUUUACAUUAAUAUAUGAUUUAUUGAUCCAUAUAAAUGAUUAAAGAUUAAAUUACCUUAGGGAUAACAGCGUUAUUUUUUUUUAGAGUUCUUAUCGAAAAAAAAGAUUGCGACCUCGAUGUUGGAUUAAAAUUUAUUUAUGGUGUAGAAGCUAUAAUAUUAGGUCUGUUCGACCUUUAAAAUUUUACAUGAUCUGAGUUUAAACCGGUGUGAGCCAGGUUGGUUUCUAUCUUAAAAUAAAUAAAAUAUUUUAGUACGAAAGGACCAAAUAUUUAUAAAAUUUAUUAUAUUUUGAAUAC
rnacentral:rRNA from 1 species